rnacentral:rRNA from 1 species
AUACGUAGGUGACAAGCGUUAUCCGGAUUUACUGGGCGUAAAGGGCGUGUAGGCGGUCUUGCAAGUCAGAAGUGAAAUUCCUGAGCUCAACUCGGGCGCUGCUUCUGAAACUGCAGGACUUGAGUGCUGGAGGGGAUAGCGGAAUUCCUAGUGGAGCGGUAAAAUGCGCAGAUAUUAGGAAGAACACCGGUGGCGAAGGCGGCUAUCUGGACAGUAACUGACGCUGAGGCGCGAAAGCGUGGGGAGCAAACAGGAUUAGAUACCCCGGUAGUCCACGCCGUAAACGAUGAAUACUAGGUGUAGGGGGUAUCGACUCCCUCUGUGCCGCAGUUAACACAAUAAGUAUUCCGCCUGGGGAGUACGGCCGCAAGGUUGAAACUCAAAGGAAUUGACGGGG